AAGGAGCAUCUAGCUGUCGCAAGGCAGCCAGGGCCACGACGCAGGCGAACGUUCUGCGGUGGUUGCUCAUGGGUGGAACGUUGAUUAUUCGGCCGGAACAUCGGGUCGGAGGCUGCGAGUACUGCUCUUAGGAGCGUGGAAAGCAUGAUCUCCGGACGGGAGUCUGGUCGGGCACGCUGUUGGGUGUCUGAGGGAAUGAACCCCCUCAUGAUGCCGACCCCGGUAAAAAUCCGUGUAAGCGGGUUGUGACGGGUGGUUGGUCGUUGUUUGAGAACUGCACAGCGGACGCGAGCAUCUGG
rnacentral:misc_RNA from 1 species